AACGUGUCCUCUGAGCCCCAGGAAGCAGACCCUAGCCAUUCAGUAGCAGAUUACUCAGGUCCAGGAAGCCCAAGAAAACCAAGCCAGAACUCUGUAGCAAAAAGAGGACUUAUCUCCUCCCAACAUACUGCUCCAGCCAUUGCUGCCCUCUCCCUGGCACGCAGGUAGAAGAGGCAUAUGCCAUAACGACCAGGCUGGAAGAGUGUGGUAGAAGCGAGAAGGUACAAAGAGCAGAGCAGUCACAAGUCCCUACAGUUACGAGAAGGAAGUACCGACCUCAGCUCUGAGGCCUCUUAUGAGAGGGGGCCACUGAUAUCUUCACUUGCAAAUUCAGGAAGAGGCGAGCUCUCUGGGAAUGACUCUUACAAACUGGUUUUUUUUUUUUUUUUUUUUUUUUUUUUCCAGAAGCAUGGGCUCUGUCUGAACAAACCCGAGGGUGACAGCUCAGCCAUAGCACUGGCCAGACAUAAACAGCAACAGAUGUUUGUUGAAUGAAUGGAUACAUUAAUGAAUCCUAAUUGCCCUUCUUCCAAGUCCCAGUGCUCCAGAUAAGGAGAAAGGAAACGGAUGGCACAUCUAAUUUCAUCCCUAUAAUCCACCCUGGACAGGGAAAAGAUUCCAAUUUUACAGGUCAGAACUCAAGGUCCGGAUUGAGGAAACAGCUGAGCUGAUCUACCUGGCUGCUCUACUGAGGCACCCCAGAAAAGGGACUGAAGAAGUGGAUGAAGGUAGUGACCCUGCCUUCCAAUCGAUUUUGUUAGUCCACAGAUGAACAUAAUACCAGCCAGGAUAAUACCUACCUGGCUGCCAUAAAUAAAGAUUUCUCAAUGUCAGAGAGUGGGAUU
ensembl:processed_transcript 2010016I18Rik RIKEN cDNA 2010016I18 gene